GUGCCAGCCGCCGCGGUAAUACGGAGGGGGCUAGCGUUGUUCGGAAUUACUGGGCGUAAAGCGCACGUAGGCGGCUUUGUAAGUUAGAGGUGAAAGCCCGGAGCUCAACUCCGGAAUUGCCUUUAAGACUGCAUCGCUUGAAUCAUGGAGAGGUGAGUGGAAUUCCGAGUGUAGAGGUGAAAUUCGUAGAUAUUCGGAAGAACACCAGUGGCGAAGGCGACUCACUGGACAUGUAUUGACGCUGAGGUGCGAAAGCGUGGGGAGCAAACAGGAUUAGAUACCCCCGUAGUCC
rnacentral:rRNA from 1 species